CCCUUAGACGUUCUGGGCCGCACGCGCGCUACACUGACCAGUGCAACAAGCAUCCGUCCUUGGCCGAUAGGUCUGGGUAAUCUUUGAACGCUGGUCGUGAUGGGGAUAGACUUUUGCAAUUUUUGGUCUUCAACGAGGAAUUCCUAGUAAACGCAAGUCAUCAACUUGCAUUGAUUACGUCCCUGCCCUUUGUACACACCGCCCGUCGCACCUACCGAUUGAAUGGUCCGGUGAAGCCUCCGGAUUGGCGCGCACCUCGGUGCCGCCGAGAAGUUGGCUAAACCUUACCAUUUAGAGGAAGGUGAAGUCGUAACA
rnacentral:rRNA from 1 species